GGAUGAACAUGCGGAAACUUCUCAGGAAAGGACUGUCGAGCAUGACGAGGAAGUUGGCGAAUAUAUCUUCUUGCAUUUUCAUUCACAUAUCCCAGAUCAGUCUCAUCCGGAGUGCCAAUAAGCUCCAUCAGUAAACGAAGUUGAUGCACAUGGUCUCUCCCUGGAAAUAAAGGCUUGCGGUCCAUCAGCUCCAUAAAUAUGCAUCCGACAGACCACACAUCAAUUGAUGCAGUAUAUUCUGAAGAAUUCAAC
rnacentral:misc_RNA from 1 species